UUAGGUCCCCCUAGAUGCGCAGUCAGGAGACGGUGCGCGGGCAAUUCCAUUCAAACAGAACUUUUCUUUGCCGAAGGAACGUGACUGAUUAUGGUUCUGUCAAAAAAAUUCGUUUUAGCUAAACACUUUGCUGGCAAACCGUCCAGUGAUGAUAUCAAGCUGGUAACAGAAGAGUUGCCCGAUGAAGUUAACGAUGGCGAAGUUCUAUGUGAAGCAGUCUGGCUGACUGUUGAUCCUUACAUGCGUAUCUACACUGCUAGUCUGUCAGAAGGAGAUGUGAUAAUAGGGGAACAGGUAGCAAGGGUUAUUGCGAGCAAGAAUCCAAAAUUCCCUGAAGGCACACAUGUGAUAGCUCGUCUUGGUUGGAAGAGUCACGCAUUAGUGAAAGAUGUCUCAGUUCUGAGGAAAGUUCCUGACAUUGAAGACUUAUCAUUGUCUCUCACUCUAGGAUCCUUGGGAAUGCCUGGGUUAACAGCAUAUUUUGGAUUCCUUGAGAAAUGUCAACCAAAAUCUGGAGAAACUGUAUUGGUUAAUGCUGCUGCUGGGGCUGUCGGAAGUAUUGUGGGACAAAUUGCCAAAAUCAAGGGUUGUAAAGUGGUGGCAUUUGCUGGCACUGAGGAGAAAUGUUCCUGGCUUAAGAAUGAACUGGGCUUUGAUCAAGUCUUCAACUACAAGAAUAUUGAUUUGGACAAAGUAUUAUCAUCAUCUGUUCCUGACGGCAUUGACUGUUAUUUUGACAAUGUUGGAGGUGACUUCUCGUCAGUUGUCUUAAACCACAUGAAUAGCUAUGGGCGUGUAUGCGUUUGUGGUUGCAUAUCUGAAUAUAAUGUUCCAGCUGAAAAGGCACUGAAGGGUCCCUAUCCUUUCAAAAGGAUUUUGAUUAAAGAACUCUCCGUAUUUGGUUUCAUAGUAUGGAAGUAUUUCGACCGAGCUGACGAAGGAAGAAAGCAACUUCUGGAAUGGAUUAAAAGUGGAAAAUUGAUCUACAAAGAGACCAUCACAGAAGGUUUUGAGAACAUGCCAAAAGCUUUCCUUGGAUUGUUUGAAGGUAGCAAUAUUGGGAAAGCCAUUGUCAAAGCAUAAACGUAAUGGUUUGAGACUCAUUCAGUUUUUUGAAGAGAAAUUCGUAAAGAUUUGAUUUUAUUCAAUUUAUUUUUAUAGUUGAAUGGUUAUCAAUUGUAAUGACUCUAAUGUACAAUUAGUAAUUAGUUUUAUGUAUUCAGGUAGAUGUGUAGUGAAUCUGAGCAGAAUUUGAACACAAGAUGUUUCUUCCAAUUUCUGUUGGAAAAUUUUAAACCAAAGAAAAUUAAAGCAAGUUUUUUUUAUUAUUGUAAAACAGAAUUAUUAAUAAAUGUUAAAAUUAAUGUGCUUAACAUAAUUUACAUAUCAAAUAUAAUUUGUUGAAGAAAUGUUUUACAUAUCAAAUAUAAUUUGUUGAAGAAAUGUUUUGAAGUAACUACAAUGUGUCUGAGGUCAACAUUGCCCUCUAAUACUUUUAUUUUUAUUUUGUAUUAAAUUUAUUGGUGCAAAGAUUUCAUCAGCAUCUAAAUUCUUACUCCUGUCUCCAACUUAUUGAGAAUAGUACAUUUCUUUGAUGACUUUUUUCUUUUUCUCUCCACUAUGAUUGCUAUCAAUUGAGAUCUGGACUGUUUUUGCUCACCAUUAAAUAGGCAAAUCCUUUACAGUUAUCCUAAGAAUUAUGGAAGGCCCUGCAUCCGAUCUUUGGUAGAAUUGCUUUCAUAAUCUACUUUUGGUAAUUCUUGUCCAGUCUAAUAUUCUUUCUAUUGCAUCUUGCUAGGUUGAGUAAGAUUUUCAUUUAAAACAGCAAAUAAUUUACUGAAGCUGAAAUAGUUUUUGCUAAUAUUUAUGCAUAAUAAAAAUGUAUCUCCAAAGAUGUUAUUGGAUAUCCAUGAGGUAGAACUAGUUGCUGACAUGUCUGUACCAAUGCAAUCACCUACCACUGCAAAG
rnacentral:misc_RNA from 1 species